rnacentral:misc_RNA from 1 species
GGAAUGCGAUAAGUAGUGUGAAUUGCAGAAUUCAGUGGAUCAUCGAAUCUUUGAACGCACAUUGCGCCCGUCAGUAUUCCAUGGGGCAUGCCUGUUCGAGCGUCAUUGGUAGCCUCAAGCUUUGCUUGGUGUUGGGUGUUUGUCCUCUCUGGAGGACUCGCCUCAAAACAAUUGGCAGCCGGCAUAUUGGUAUCGGAGCGCAGCACAAGUCGCGCUUCUUUCCAUGAAUGUCCGCAUCCAUCAAGACUAUUUUCACUCUUGACCUCGGAUCAGGUAGGGAUACCCGCUAAACUUAA